ACAAAAAAUACAGCAAAAACUCUAGAAACUUUUUUUAAAAAUAUCGACACUAUUUCGCCCAAUCACAAAAGUCUGUAUUCGUCUUGUCAUUUCAUCUGCCAUUGCUUUGUAAAGACGUUUCCAGAUUUCCAAGGAAAGGAUUUUGCUCCAUGCCUAUUGAUCUUUUCCUUUUUCCUUUCCUUUUUCCUUCCUUGCUUCAUUCUGUUCUCAAUCUGAUUUUCGCUCUUCUUUUCCAUUUUAAAAGAUUUUGUAAAAUCAUGUAUGUUUCCUGAUGUAGAGAUCGUCUUCUCCUUCUUUAGCAUUGCAGUUGGUGAUGAUUCUAUUUCCAGAUGUUUCAUCUCCAUUCCCGAUCUAUUUCCGCUUCAGUAAUACCCUUUCCAACGUAUACAGGAGCAAUGUAUGUAUUUUUGUCUAUUUUUAACCCUUCUGAUGCCCGAUUGUGUGCUGCUACAUUCGCUAUUCUUCUUACAUGUUGAAACUGGCAAUCAUAAAAUACCGCUUUCUCAUCUUUGAUAUUGAAAAUAAAAGGUUCUAUUUCUGAUCUAUCUCUUUUUUGGCUUUGAACUUUCUUUAUUACUGUCAAGGAGUCUCCCUCAAUAAUAACAUGAUUUAAACCCAAGUCUCUACGCACUUUAAUUGCCUGUAAGCAUGCGUUGGCUUCAGCCGCAAAGCUAGAAAAAAUGUCGGUAUGAACUGUUGUUUUUGAUGCUAAAACUUCCAUUUGAAAUUUUUGACUAUAAUUCCUGAGCAUGAUCUAUUUUGCCUAUUACCAAAAGCAACAUCAAAGUUUAUUUUGAAAAAACCUUGUUUCGGAGGCCUCCAUAGCUCGGAAUCCAGAUUCGAGGCGAGAUCCUUUUUCUCAAUGUCUUUUAAUUCCUGUAUAUAUUUCAGUAUGAAUUUUUCUAUUUCUGCUCCAGAUCUCCUGUGGCCUUCAUGCAUCCAUUUGUUCCUAGCUGACCAGAUAGCCCAUAUAGCAUAGAUGAAAAUCUGACCUACUUCUGUUGUAUUGUUAUGCAAGAUCCAGGUAAACCAUUCCAUAAACUCUGAUUGUAAAAUACUGUGGCCAUGCAAACUCUAAUUUUUCCCAUGUUUCCUUUGUGACAGCACAAUCCCGGAAGAACAUACUCCUUGGUUUCCAGCCCUUGCAUGCAUCUAUGACAAAUAGCCUCAUUAAUUAAUCUCUUAGUUCUUAGGUUUACUAGAGUAGGAAGAUAGUUGAGGGUGGCUCUCCAAGCUGUAAUAUUAAUUUUUGAAGGGAGGUAACUAUUCCAGAGUUUUUUUUGUAGCAUUUGUAAAUCUCACUUGGCUUGUAAUUUUCAUUUCUUGGUAAAAGAAUUUUGUAUCAGCUACACACCGUAUAUUCUCCAUAUGCCUCUCCCCUCCAACUCAGAAAGUCUUCAUGAGAAAGAUGAGCCAGUGGUAUUAGCAUAAUCUUUUGAGCAACCUCUUCAGAGAAGGUUUUUUUACCAGCAGGUCAUCAACGUUUGGAACCCAGACAUCUUCUUCAAUUCUGAUAUUACGCCCGUUACCCACCCUCCAUCUCAGACCUGAAAGCAGAAGUCUUUUUACGGCCUAUAUACUUUUCCAAGUAUAUGAUGGUAAAGCUCUCUAAGUCUGAACUUAAAAAAUCAGAAUUUGGAUGGUACUUGACUUUUAAUGUUCUUGCUAAAAGGGAUGUAGGGUUAUCUAUUAAUCUCCAUCCUUACUUCGCGAUGAGGGCCAAAUUGAAUUUAGUUAAAUUACAAUA